ACUCUUUAUAUUAACCAGAUUUAUUCACAUUUGUAUACCAUUUUGUUUGCUUUAAUUUUUUGGGUUUGCAGUUUAUUUAUUAAUUUUAAUGAUUGUCUAUUUAUUGUGUUUUGUUUACAAUCUAUUAAUAGUGUCCAGAAAUCUUUGGUUAACUUAAAUUUAAUCAACUAACAGUCUGUGAAAAAGUCUGACCAAGGAUCCAUUAAAGCUGCUUCAUGGAAACUCGCUUAACAUGUCUUGGUUUUUCAUCUUAUUCAAUACCAUGAAUAUUACAAAUUUUGAUUUGGAAUUGAGUCGAUGUUCGAUUUGGGCGAUAAGUCUUUAUAAGACUAAACGUUGGUUACUCGGUUGAGAUUCAUAAAUUAGAUGUUUUACAAUUUUUGGUCGAGCUUCGUGUUAGCAACUUGAAAAUGCUGGAAUAUUUAAGCAUCUUGAUUCAUCUAAUACUAUUACCAAGACAGCGAAAUUCAGAAGAAACUUGGAAAGAUUAAUCAAUGUUAAACGGAAAGUCAGAAAGGUAACACACACAAAAUGAUGUAUUCGAGAAAGAAGGAGACACCAAAAAAUACAAGCAACAAGAUGAUAAUGAUGAUGCUGAUAAUGGUGAUGAGGAAGAGUAAGCCAAAGGAAUAUUUUAAAUGAAGAUGAAGAUGAUUGUUGAUGGAGGAGUCUCAAAAGCAGGGAGAUUCAUGAAAACAACAACAACAACAACAACAAAGCAUAAUAAUGCAAAAAACGGAGACAAAAAAACUGCAUCACAAAAAGAGGCAAAAAUCUGAUUGUAAACAACGUAAGCCUCCUUCAACUAUGUUUUUUAACCUUGUUUCCUCUAUUUUUUGGAGUUUUUUACUUCCUUUUUGUAAUUGUUAUUGUACAUUCAUUGAAAGGCGCGAGUCAGCGAGGGUGGGUGCUGAUCGGAAUGAGGUUUUAUUCCUGUCAACAACAACAAUCUUUGAUGAUAACGAGUCUCGUGACCAUUCAAAGUCUUUUCAUCUUUCAAACUGACCAAUUCACUUCUCCCAUCAUUUUAACCAUCAAUGCAUCCUUCUCAUCAUCAUCAUCUUCUUCUUCUGCUUGAACUCUUCUGCACUCAUCUUUACCAUAUUUCUAGGAUCGCCAUUUAACAAGCGGACUGAUCAUCGGGUUAUCUUGCGCUAUGGCAACAUUUACUUUCAUCUACAGCAGCUUUUAAUGGCUCAAGUUGAUUAGAUUUGGAAAAAUUGGUUCCAUCAGUUUCUCUGUUCCAUCGAGUUCCAUUGAUUUGCAAGCUGGAAAUUUAAUAAUUACUAAAUCCUGUUGUAUUAUGGCAACAUUUUAAUCAACAUCUAAAGCUUUCAAUCUCAUGAUUUCUGCAUCUCUCGGCAUGAAACGCAAGUUACUUGAUGAAAUUUGCCGUUCCAACAGAAACAUAAAUCUUAUUGAAAUACAUUUAGAUCUGAAGCCCUUCUUGGUAACUCCAUCUUUACCAUCAUGAUCAUGAUACGUGAAUUACCACUUUUUCUGGUUACUUUUCCCUUUCUUCAUCUUUUUUCUCGGUCUUUCCUCUUUUAACCAAUUUUUCCUGAGCAAACUCUGUUUCAUUCAUUCACUCAUCAUCAAUUAAUCCUUCAUUGAUCAGCUCAAUCAAUAAUCAAAUUUAUAUUCUUACAAUAGCAAAAUCUUUUAUUAUUUAGUCUUUUAUGUACAUUCAUUCAUUUACAAUCUCAAUCAGUCUCAAUUUUUAAAGCAAUUUCACCCUAAAAAAUAUAUAAUAUCAUUUCAACAUCUAAUAACCCAAAUUUUCAUACUAGACUAACAUGAAUCGUUUAAUGAUUAAAUAACAACUCAGAGAAGGACAAAAAACAUGAUAAUGAAGGUGAAGGAAGGAGUCAGAAUCGAUGAAAGUAAAAAAAAGGUUAUUCCUACUAAUAACCAUUGACUGGUAAAAGUAACAAAAUGACCAUUUUCAUCUCAUUGGUCCAAAUUAUAACCCAAAAGAGCUUAUUUUGUUUCCUUCAUUUUGUCUUUACAAUUCAACCUUUUUACUUCAAUUAAUCUAAAUUGAUUGCCUCUGAUUAAUGAACCAAAUUAACUGGUUAACAACCAAGUAAAUCAAUUUGCGAUGUAAAAAGAUGAAUCAAACGUUGAAGCAAUUUAAAGGAGCCAGCAAAAAAACAUCUCUUGAUGAAAGCAAAUUGAUUUAUACCUUUUCAUUGAAAAGCAAUGAGUAAAACCUUCAUUUCUUACACUUCCAGUAACAUAAAUUAUCAUUAGUAAAGAUAAAUUCAAUCCAAAAUGAGGAUAAAUUAAUGUAUUAAAGUAUUAAAUGUUGAUGAAUUAAAAAAGUCCAGAUCUUUAGUUUUCA